rnacentral:rRNA from 1 species
UAGGGAAUAUUGGGCAAUGGGCGGAAGCCUGACCCAGCCAUGCCGCGUGCAGGAAGACGGCGUCUGCGUUGUAAACUGCUUUUAUCAGGGAAGCGGUACCUGGUGAAUAAGCACCGGCUAACUCCGUGCCAGCAGCCGCGGUAAUACGGAGGGUGCAAGCGUUGUCCGGAUUUAUUGGGUUUAAAGGGUGCGUAGGCGGCUUUUUAAGUCAGCGGUGAAAGUUUUCGGCUCAACCGGAAAAUGCCGUUGAUACUGGGGAGCUUGAGUCACGGAAGGGUACAUGGAAUUGGUGGUGUAGCGGUGAAAUGCAUAGAUACCAUCAGGAACACCGAUAGCGAAGGCAUUGUACUUGCCGUGAACUGACGCUGAGGCACGAAAGCGCGGGUAGCGAACA